rnacentral:rRNA from 1 species
ACGUAGGGAGCAAGCGUUGUUCGGAUUUACUGGGCGUAAAGGGCGCGUAGGCGGCAUAUUAAGUCAGCUGUGAAAUCUCCGAGCUUAACUCGGAACUGUCAGCUGAUACUGCAGUGCUAGAGUGUGGAAGGGGCAAUCGGAAUUCUUGGUGUAGCGGUGAAAUGCGUAGAUAUCAAGAGGAACACCUGAGAUGAAGACGGGUUGCUGGGCCAACACUGACGCUGAUGCGCGAAAGCCAGGGGAGCAAACGGGA